rnacentral:rRNA from 1 species
AACGAACGCUGGCGGCAGGCCUAACACAUGCAAGUCGAACGCCGUAGCAAUACGGAGUGGCAGACGGGUGAGUAACGCGUGGGAACAUACCCCUCGGUUCGGAAUAACUCAGGGAAACUUGAGCUAAUACCGGAUACGUCCGAGGUUUUAAUCGACCUUGGAGAAAGAUUUAUCGCCGGAGGAUUGGCCCGCGUCUGAUUAGCUUGUUGGUGAGGUAAUGGCUCACCAAGGCGACGAUCAGUAGCUGGUCUGAGAGGAUGAUCAGCCACAUUGGGACUGAGACACGGCCCAAACUCCUACGGGAGGCAGCAGUGGGGAAUAUUGGACAAUGGGCGAAAGCCUGAUCCAGCCAUGCCGCGUGAGUGAUGAAGGCCUUAGGG